GACGAACGCUGGCGGCGUGCUUAACACAUGCAAGUCGAACGAUGAAGCCGGAGCUUGCUCUGGUGAAUUAGUGGCGAACGGGUGAGUAACACGUGAGUAACCUGCCCUUGACUCUGGGAUAACUGCUAGAAAUGGUAGCUAAUACCGGAUACGACCCUCGGAGGCAUCUUCAGGGGGUGGAAAGAAUUUCGGUCAAGGAUGGACUCGCGGCCUAUCAGCUAGUUGGUGAGGUAAUGGCUCACCAAGGCGACGACGGGUAGCCGGCCUGAGAGGGUAAGCGGCCACACUGGGACUGGGACACGGCCCAGACUCCGACGUGAGGCAGCAGUUGGGAAUAUUGCACAAUGGGCGCAAGCCUGAUGCAGCAACGCCGCGUGAGGGAUGACGGCCUUCGGGUUGUAAACCUCUUUUAGUAGGGAAGAAGCGAAAGUGGCGGUACCUGCAGAAAAAGCACCGGCUAACUACGUGCCAGCCGCCGCCGUAA
rnacentral:rRNA from 1 species